rnacentral:lncRNA from 1 species
ACGCAUGUAUGAUAGCACUGCCACUUCUGGAUAAGUUUUUCGUAUUAAUUUGCAUUGGUUAUUGAGAUUUGUUUCGUCUCCAAAUUAUACGAACUUAAUUAUUUUUUAAUCAUAUUUUUUUAAGAAGAAAUAAAAACUAUACUAAAAUCUUAAGUUGUAUGAUAUUUAUAAAUAGAGACUAUUCUUAUUUCAUUUAGUUAUAGACAAAACAUCAAUUUUAUUUUUAUUUUUAUUUUCUAUUAGUCUCUAAUAAGCUUUUUUAAUUUUUUUAAAAACGUUUUUGUUAAAUGAAUUCCAAUAAUAAUCUUUUUAAAACCUAAAUUUUUUUCUAAUUUUUUAACUACUCGAAGUUUAACAACUAUUUAUUCCAAAACCAAAUUUUCAACCAACCCCAAAAUAUACCAAAUAUGGUUUUGAAACAAAUUACUUCAAGCUAUUAUUUGUUCCAGACUAGCAUCAAAAUUUACUAUUAA